UGGGGAAUCAUGGUCAAUGGGCGAAAGCCUGAACCUGCGACGCCGCGUGAGUGAUGAAGGUCGUAAGAUCGUAAAACUCUUUUCAGGGAUCUUAAAGCACAGCUGUCAACAACAGCUGUGUGUGACUCUCCCUGGAAGAAGCCCCAGCCAACUACGUGCCAGCAGCUGUGGUAAUACGUAGGGGGCGAGCGUUAUUCGGAAUUACUGGGUGUAAAGGGUAUGUAGGCGGCCCUUCAAGUCGCGUGUCAAAGUCCAGUGCUCAACGCUGGGUGUGCACGCGAUACUGACGGGCUUGAGGGCUGGAGAGGUGAGCGGAAUUCCCGGUGUAGUGGUGAAAUACGUAGAGAUCGGGAGGAACACCAGCGGCGCAGGCGGCUCACUAGACAGUUUCUGACGCUAAGAUACGAAAGCGUGGGGAGCAAACA
rnacentral:rRNA from 1 species